AAGUCGUAACAAGGUAUCCGUAGGUGAACCUGCGGAUGGAUCAUUAAAACCAAAAACAGCUAACGUGCUUCAAACACACGUUACUAACCCAAACCUGUGCACCCAUUUCACAACACUUGGCGAGUGAUAGUUGUUGACCGGGGUCGAGCCGCGUUUCCCUCGUGGGAGAGCGUGUGCUGGGUCUUCAUUGGUGAGAAGAAGGCCUCAUGACUUGUCACAGCUGCGACUCACUUGCUCAAAUGUUUUUUCUUUAAUUCUCGCCACUUUUUUUAACCCAUUGAACUAAUUUAUUCUUUCUUUAGUUGUACUAAACGUUUUCGAACACUGUUUGAACACGACUUCUGUCGUUCCAAACUGGAAUAAGAAACGCAAGAACAACUCUUAGCAACGGAUAUCUAGGUUCUC
rnacentral:misc_RNA from 1 species